rnacentral:rRNA from 1 species
GAUGAACGCUGGCGGCGUGCCUAAUACAUGCAAGUCGAGCGAACAGACGAGGAGCUUGCUCCUCUGACGUUAGCGGCGGACGGGUGAGUAACACGUGGAUAACCUACCUAUAAGACUGGGAUAACUUCGGGAAACCGGAGCUAAUACCGGAUAACAUGUUGAACCGCAUGGUUCAACAGUGAAAGACGGUUUUGCUGUCACUUAUAGAUGGAUCCGCGUCGCAUUAGCUAGUUGGUAAGGUAACGGCUUACCAAGGCAACGAUGCGUAGCCGACCUGAGAGGGUGAUCGGCCACACUGGAACUGAGACACGGUCCAGACUCCUACGGGAGGCAGCAGUAGGGAAUCUUCCGCAAUGGGCGAAAGCCUGACGGAGCAACGCCGCGUGAGUGAAGAAGGUCUUCGGAUCGUAAAACUCUGUUAUUAGGGAAGAACAAAUGUGUAAGUAGCUAUGCACGUCUUGACGGUACCUAAUCAGAAAGCCACGGCUAACUACGUG